rnacentral:rRNA from 1 species
UUCGACCUCAAUCAGAGGC